rnacentral:piRNA from 1 species
UGUACUGGAAGAAUCAGAUCACAUGUGGGCU